UGAAUGCACGAAAUAAUAGCUAAACCAGACGUAGUGCUACAGUGACGUACCUUGGAGCAUGCACAAAACAAGUGCAUCACAAACGCGAAGAUAUACUGCUUUUGAAUAAAUGCCAAGAUUUAGGAUUCCGAAUAAACUAACAAAUGAACAGACUAACAAACCAGCGGACUAACAAACUCGUGUACCGAAUAUAAAGCGAGGGCUAACGUCGUUUGGGCACCGUAAUGGAGGCUGAUUGUAUGAUUCAUCGUAAAUAUGCAGUUUUCAUUGUCAGAAUUCGGUAAGUGUCUAUUACUUAUAUUAAAAACAGUUUAUCGCUGUUGUAACGUCACCCAAACCUCAGGUAAUUAGGUCAAACAUACUGUAAAACUAAGGUUGGGCGGACACGGU